rnacentral:lncRNA from 1 species
CCCAGGCCGACUUGGUCUAGCUGGAGGCUUGGUGCCUGGGCCCUAGGAAGCCUGUAUGGGGGCUGCAGCUGAGCUGCUGUCCUGAGGGCAGAGGCCCACAGCAGACUAUACAUCAGGGAGAGAUUAAACACAGCCUUAGACUCUGGAACAAUGAAAUCCAAUACUCACACAGUCUACAGAAGAUCCAGCUGAUUUCUCAAAUUCCAUGUGGUACACCAAAGGACACAACAAGCUCCAAACCUGUUAUCUUUCCUACCCACAUCAGAGAGAAUGGGGAGAAGAUCAACUUUUCUAAAGCCCCAGCCAAAUUCUUAUUGUCUCUAACUGAAUAUGGCCAUUUCGGAAUGUGGUGAUAUACUGUUUAUGAUCUAAUAAAGGCACUGGAAAUCAGUUUGCA